GAUGAAGAACGUAGCGAAAUGCGAUAAGUAAUGUGAAUUGCAGAAUUCAGGGAAUCAUCGAAUCUUUGAACGCACAUUGCGCCCCCUGGUAUUCCGGGGGGCAUGCCUGUUCGAGCGUCAUUACAACCCUCAAGCUCUGCUUGGUAUUGGGCCCCGCCAGUUCUGGCGGGCCCUAAAGUCAGUGGCGGUGCCUUCCGGCUCCGAGCGUAGUAAUUCUUCUCGCUCUGGAGACCCGGUUGUGUGCUUGCCAACAACCCCCAAUUUUUUAAGGUUGACCUCGGAUCAGGUAGGGAUACCCGCUGAACUUAAGCAUAUCAAUAAGCGGAGGA
rnacentral:misc_RNA from 1 species